GAUUUGUCUGGUUAAUUCCGUUAACGAACGAGACCUUAGCCUGCUAAAUAGGAUCACCAACUUUCUGGUUGACGGAGGCCUUCUUAGAGGGACGUCGCGUGUCUAACGAGGGGAAGUGUGAGGCAAUAACAGGUCUGUGAUGCCCUUAGAUGUUCUGGGCUGCACGCGCGCUACACUGAUGCGUUCAACGAGUUCUACCUGCUCCGGAAGGAAUGGGCAACCUUGGUGAAAGCACAUCGUGAUGGGGAUAGAUUAUUGCAAUUUUUAAUCUUCAACGAGGAAUUCCUAGUAAGCGCAAGUCAUCAACUUGCACUGAUUACGUCCCUGCCCUUUGUACACACCGCCCGUCGCUCCUACCGAUUGAAUUAUUUGGUGAAUACUUGGGACCGUGUCGCGAUGAGUUCUGGUUGCGAUGUGGGAACUUGAGUAACCUGAUCAUUUAGAGGAAGGAGAAGCGAACAAGGUUUGCCGAGUGAACCUGCGGAAGGAUCA
rnacentral:rRNA from 1 species